rnacentral:rRNA from 1 species
UAAUACGAAGGGUGCAAGCGUUACUCGGAAUUACUGGGCGUAAAGCGUGCGUAGGUGGUCGUUUAAGUCCGUUGUGAAAGCCCUGGGCUCAACCUGGGAACUGCAGUGGAUACUGGACGACUAGAGUGUGGUAGAGGGUAGCGGAAUUCCUGGUGUAGCAGUGAAAUGCGUAGAGAUCAGGAGGAACAUCCAUGGCGAAGGCAGCUACCUGGACCAACACUGACACUGAGGCACGAAAGCGUGGGGAGCAAACAGGAUUAGAUACCCUGGUAGUCCACGCCCUAAACGAUGCGAACUGGAUGUUGGGUGCAAUUUGGCACGCAGUAUCGAAGCUAACGCGUUAAGUUCGCCGCCUGGGGAGUACGGUCGCAAGACUGAA